rnacentral:rRNA from 1 species
GAUGAACGCUGGCGGCGUGCCUAAUACAUGCAAGUCGAGCGAACAGGCGAGGAGCUUGCUCCUCUGACGUUAGCGGCGGACGGGUGAGUAACACGUGGAUAACCUACCUAUAAGACUGGGAUAACUUCGGGAAACCGGAGCUAAUACCGGAUAACAUGUUGAACCGCAUGGUUCAACAGUGAAAGACGGUCUUGCUGUCACUUAUAGAUGGAUCCGCGCCGCAUUAGCUAGUUGGUAAGGUAACGGCUUACCAAGGCAACGAUGCGUAGCCGACCUGAGAGGGUGAUCGGCCACACUGGAACUGAGACACGGUCCAGACUCCUACGGGAGGCAGCAGUAGGGAAUCUUCCGCAAUGGGCGAAAGCCUGACGGAGCAACGCCGCGUGAGUGAUGAAGGUCUUCGGAUCGUAAAACUCUGUUAUUAGGGAAGAACAAAUGUGUAAGUAACUAUGCACGUCUUGACGGUACCUAAUCAGAAAGCCACGGCUAACUACGUG